CCUACGGGGGGCUGCAGUGGGGAAUAUUGGACAAUGGGGGCAACCCUGAUCCAGCCAUGCCGCGUGUGUGAAGAAGGCCCUCGGGUUGUAAAGCACUUUCAGUGAGGAAGAACGCCUGGUGGUUAAUACCCAUCAGGAAAGACAUCACUCACAGAAGAAGCACCGGCUAACUCCGUGCCAGCAGCCGCGGUAAUACGGAGGGUGCGAGCGUUAAUCGGAAUUACUGGGCGUAAAGCGCGCGUAGGUGGCUUGAUAAGCCGGUUGUGAAAGCCCCGGGCUCAACCUGGGAACGGCAGCCGGAACUGUCAAGCUAGAGUGCAGGAGAGGAAAGUAGAAUUCCCGGUGUAGCGGUGAAAUGCGUAGAGAUCGGGAGGAAUACCAGUGGCGAAGGCGGCCUUCUGGACUGACACUGACGCUGAGGUGCGAAAGCGUGGGUAGCAAACAGGAUUAGAUACCCUGGUAGUC
rnacentral:rRNA from 1 species